AGUCGACGGUAACUUGGUGCUUGCACCAGAUGACGAGUGGCGCACGGGUGCGUAACGCGUAUGCAACCUACCUUUUACUAGAGUAUAGCCCAGAGAAAUUUGGAUUAAUCCUCUAUAAUAUCUUUUAAUUUCAUGAUUAAUUGAUUAAAGUUUUAACGGUAAAAGAUGGGCAUGCGUCCUAUUAGUUUGUAGGUGAGGUAACGGCUCACCUAGACUACGAUAGGUAGGGGCCCUGAGAGGGGGAUCCCCCACACUGGUACUGAGACACGGACCAGACUCCUACGGGAGGCAGCAGUAAGGAAUAUUGGACAAUGGACGAAAGUCUGAUCCAGCCAUGCCGCGUGCAGGAUGAAAGCCCUAUGGGUUGUAAACUGCUUUUAUACAGGAAGAAACACUCCGACUUGUCGGAGCUUGACGGUACUGUAAGAAUAAGGAUCGGCUAACUCCGUGCCAGCAGCCGCGGUAAUACGGAGGAUCCAAGCGUUAUCCGGAAUCAUUGGGUUUAAAGGGUCCGCAGGCGGUCUUUUAAGUCAGAGGUGAAAGCCUACAGCUCAACUGUAGAACGGCCUUUGAUACUGAAAGACUUGAGUUAUUGUGAAGUGGUUAGAAUGUGUGGUGUAGCGGUGAAAUGCAUAGAUAUCACACAGAAUACCGAUUGCGAAGGCAGAUCACUAACAAUAUACUGACGCUCAUGGACGAAAGCGUGGGGAGCGAACAGGAUUAGAUACCCUGGUAGUCCACGCCGUANACGAUGGAUACUAGCUGUUCGUCUAACAUUGGUUAGAUGAGUGGCUAAGCGAAAGUGAUAAGUAUCCCACCUGGGG
rnacentral:rRNA from 1 species